GGGAAGGAUCAGGUCCAGGUUGAUACAGUGUUAAAGGGAAGGAUCAGGUCCAGGUUGAUACAGUGUUAAAGGGAAGGAUCAGGUCCAGGUUGAUACAGUGUUAAAGGGAAGGAUCAGGUCCAGGUUGAUACAGUGUUAAAGGGAAGGAUCAGGUCCAGGUUGAUACAGUGUUAAAGGGAAGGAUCAGGUCCAGGUUGAUACAGUGUUAAAGGGAAGGAUCAGGUCCAGGUUGAUACAGUGUUAAAG